rnacentral:rRNA from 1 species
UCUACGGGAGGCAGCAGUGAGGAAUAUUGGUCAAUGGACGAGAGUCUGAACCAGCCAAGUAGCGUGAAGGAUGACUGCCCUAUGGGUUGUAAACUUCUUUUAUAAAUGGAUAAAACGAGGCACGUGUGCCUUUUUGCAUGUACUUUAUGAAUAAGGAUCGGCUAACUCCGUGCCAGCAGCCGCGGUAAUACGGAGGAUCCGAGCGUUAUCCGGAUUUAUUGGGUUUAAAGGGAGCGUAGAUGGGUUGUUAAGUCAGUUGUGAAAGUUUGCGGCUCAACCGUAAAAUUGCAAUUGAUACUGGCAGGCUUGAGUACAGUUGAGGUAGGCGGAAUUCGUGGUGUAGCGGUGAAAUGCUUAGAUAUCACGAAGAACCCCGAUUGCGAAGGCAGCUUACUAAGCUGUGACUGACAUUGAUGCUCGAAAGUGUGGGUAUCAAACAGGAUUAGAUACCCUGGUAGUC